UUGACACACCACGCUUCCGUGUUGAGCUGUCUGUGCGCUGAGUACAGGAACGGACGGGCGUAUUUACCUCCACAUUGAUUGUGGGUGAGGUGGUUCCUGCAAAAACAGUGCCAACAUUUGAGCGUUCCCAUUUGGGUGCAAGUGUGGAGAGCUUGCUAAUUGGAAUCUCGACUGUCACACAACGCUGCU